UUUCACCACCCGGACAUAAAGAUACUGCAUUUGCUCAACCAAGUCAUAGGUGCUAGUAAGCUUAUCACCCGUGACCUUCCCUCCACCAAGGUGGGGUUUGGUCUCCUUUAGU